CUGUUUGAAGCUGUGAUUUGUUUUGUGAGAGGGGUCAGACGCAGUUUUCGUAGUGGUGUCGCAGCUCUGGCGUGGCGAUGGCGGGGACGACCUUGGUGCCCCCUGGGCGGCAACACAAGCGCACCGUGUCCGACCAGCAGAAGCGCCGAGAGCUUGCCUUGCAGCGCCAGAAGCAAGGGCGUCGUGACUUACAACACCAUGCCCGCCAGCUUGCCCUCAGCGCUCUGAACGAAGUUGGUGACGUUAGCGGAGAGCAGGAAGAGGAGCCUGCAGUGUAUGAGCUCAAUGUUCCACGCGCAGCAUCAGAAAACGUGGCGGCUGAUUACAACGAACAAGAUGAUACAGAGGCGAGUAUGGAAGAUGCAGAACGCAGCCCAGGGAGUAAGCGCAAAACACUGUUAGAAGGCGCAAAUCUGAAGGGGUUAAGAGCGAGAGAGUUCUUUGCUCGACAGUUGAUGUUACCCGAGUGGAUGGUGGAUAUCCCCUCUUAUCUUAAAAAGGAUUGGUUCGUUAUGCCAAGGCCAGAAGGCCAGCGGUGUCUUGUUAUAUCAGCCAAUGGCAUUACUCUGAGUCGUCAGCGAAAUGGUCGAAUCUUGCAUUCCUUCCCUUCUGCCUUACCCAAUGGUGCUCGAACGAAGGAAGUGGCGGCAGGAUCCCAUGUGUACUGUAUCCUGGACUGCAUCUUCCAUGAGCCUGAUAAAACGUACUAUGUCAUCGACAUGAUGUGCUGGCGUGGCUACUCGCUGUUCGAUUGUACUGCAGAGUUUCGAUUCUUCUGGAUGACUACUAAAUUGGCUGAAACUGGGGCUCUUGGUGCUCCAUCUGCUCAUCAUCACUACCAAUUCAGUGUUGUCCCUGUUUAUGAGUGCAACGUAGCUGCCUUACAAGCAGUUUACAGUGGGCCAGUACCGUUCCAAAGAGAUGGAAUACUCUUUUAUAACAGACAUGCGCUUUAUGAACUAGGUCUCACGCCAUUGGUGGUCGUAUGGAAAGAUGCUCAAUGUAGCCAGUAUUUGUUAGACACUGAUAGCCAGGGAAAUGUGCCUACUUAUCAGCAGGUGGUGCUAGAAUUGAGGAGUGAUGGCUCUGUAGUCACUUGUGAUGACCCGCCUGUGAUUUUUGGAACACUCGCUCCUGAGUUUCUUGAGCAGAAUGCUCGACACCUGAAGCCUGGAAUGCUUAUACGAUUUGCGAUUGGCGAUCAGGGACUGAGCUUGGUAGAGGGGAAACCUGUAGUUGCUGACAUUCAUUUUGAAGGCAUUGCAAAUAAGAAUCGGGCACGUCGUGCAGAUAGCUGCACAAAGAUUCUCUUCCAGUAUGCUGCCCGACAUGGUGCAUUGACAAUAAACGACAUAGUAGCGGCCAUUGAAACCUCCGAUGAGGAAGGCGACACAUCUAUGGGCUAGAUCGAAGACCAGACAGUUAUGAAAGAGCUGCGCCAUUGAUAGGAUUUAUGCUCGGCGGUGAGAUUCCGAUCAUUCUGCCCACUUCGACUUUAGGUUAUGCGCGAAGAGUUAUCAUGCACAUAGUCUGCCUACAGCAGAUCAAGGUUUCGCAUUGUAUUAUAGCGUGCUAACUUUCAAAUAGAUUGAAGCAGCACACUUGAAAUUAGAACUCUUAGAUAGAUUUUGCAUUUUAGACGCAUCCUUUUAAUUGAGGAUCUUCUGAUUGUGUGAAUCUGGAAUAUUACGACCUGCUAAUGCUAUAGCUUUAAGUAGAAAAUUCGAAGUCCUUAAAUGUAUGCUAGGUUCAGAAAGAUGCGCCAACAGUAGAUUGGUAUAUGGUUGAAUUGUAUUUGGUGGCAUGACAUUCUGAUGUCAGGUUCAUCCUGAUGCAAAGCAUAUAUUUCGAAAUGUGAAGAACGUGUGUCGAGGUAUAUGACGUGAUGCCCGUUCAAUGUACCAGUAUUAAAAAGAACUGUUUUUUUCUGUGAUUCCUAUGACAUGGAAAAGUAAAAUGUGAAAUUGGGGGCUUUCUCUUAU